AAUUCGAUUAGAGUUUGAUCCUGGCUCAGAUUGUACCACUUGACUAAGAGACGGCAUGCCUUACACAUGCAAGUCGAACGGCAGCACGGGAGCCUGCUCCUGGUGGCGAGUGGCGAACGGGUGAGUAAUACAUCGGAACGUACCCAGGAGUGGGGGAUAACGUAGCGAAAGUUACGCUAAUACCGCAUAUUCUGUGAGCAGGAAAGCGGGGGAUCGCAAGACCUCGCGCUCUUGGAGCGGCCGAUGUCGGAUUAGCUAGUUGGUGAGGUAAAAGCUCACCAAGGCGACGAUCCGUAGCAGGUCUGAGAGGAUGAUCUGCCACACUGGGACUGAGACACGGCCCAGACUUCUUCGGGAGGCAGCAGUGGGGAAUUUUGGACAAUGGGGGCAACCCUGAUCCACCCAUGCCGCGUGAGUGAAGAAGGCCUUCGGGUUGUAAAGCUCUUUCGGCGGGUAAGAAAUGGCAACGGUUAA
rnacentral:rRNA from 1 species